rnacentral:rRNA from 1 species
CGUGACAAGCCGGAGGAAGGUGGGGAUGACGUCAAGUCCUCAUGGCCCUUAUAGGUGGGGCUACACACGUCAUACAAUGGCUGGUACAAAGGGUUGCCAACCCGCGAGGGGGAGCCAAUCCCAUAAAGCCAGUCGUAGUCCGGAUCGUAGUCUGCAACUCGACUACGUGAAGUCGGAAUCGCUAGUAAUCGUGGAUCAGAAUGUCACGGUGAAUACGUUCCCGGGUCUU